AAGAAUGAGGAAGACGAUGAGGAAUUGGAAGUUCUAGUGAUGUGAAAAACUCAGGUGAAGAAGACGAGUUGAAAAAAUUUGACGUUUCGUAUUUCCUUUGAUGAUGAUGACAU
rfam:Arabidopsis lyrata subsp. lyrata unplaced genomic scaffold ARALYscaffold_1, whole genome shotgun sequence.